rnacentral:rRNA from 1 species
UACGGAGGGUGCAAGCGUUGUCCGGAUUUAUUGGGUUUAAAGGGUGCGUAGGCGGCCCGGUAAGUCAGUGGUGAAAGCCUCCAGCUCAACUGGAGAACUGCCAUUGAUACUGCCGGGCUUGAGUACAGACGAGGUUGGCGGAAUUGAUUGCGUAGCGGUGAAAUGCAUAGAUACAAUCAAGAACUCCGAUUGCGUAGGCAGCUAACUAGGCUGUAACUGACGCUGAGGCACGAAAGCGUGGGGAGCGAACAGG